rnacentral:rRNA from 1 species
GACGAACGCUGGCGGCGUGCUUAACACAUGCAAGUCGAACGGAAAGGCCCUGCUUUUGUGGGGUGCUCGAGUGGCGAACGGGUGAGUAACACGUGAGUAACCUGCCCUUGACUUUGUGAUAACUUCAGGAAACUGGGGCUAAUACCGGAUAGGAGCUCCUGCUGCAUGGUGGGGGUUGGAAAGUUUCGGCGGUUGGGGAUGGACUCGCGGCUUAUCAGCUUGUUGGUGGGGUAGUGGCUUACCAAGGCUUUGACGGGUAGCCGGCCUGAGAGGGUGACCGGCCACAUUGGGACUGAGAUACGGCGCAGACUCCUACGGGAGGCAGCAGUGGGGAAUAUUGCACAAUGGGCGGAAGCCUGAUGCAGCAACGCCGCGUGCGGGAUGACGGCCUUCGGGUUGUAAACCGCUUUCGCAUGUGACGAAGCGUGAGUGACGGUAAUGGGUAAAGAAGCACCGGCUAACUACGUG